UAGGGAAUCUUCGGCAAUGGACGAAAGUCUGACCGAGCAACGCCGCGUGAGUGAAGAAGGUUCUCGGAUCGUAAAACUCUGUUGUUAGAGAAGAACAAGGACGUUAGUAACUGAACGUCCCCUGACGGUAUCUAACCAGAAAGCAACGGAUAACUACGUGCCAGCAGCCGCGGUAAUACGUAGGUGGCAAGCGUUGACCGGAUUUAUUGGGCGUAAAGCGAGCGCAGGCGGUUUCUUAAGUCUGAUGUGAAAGCCCCCGGCUCAACCGGAGAGGGUCAUUGGAAACUGGGAGACUUGAGUGCAGAAGAGGUGAGUGGAAUUCCAUGUGUAGCGGUGAAAUGCGUAGAUAUAUGGAGGAACACCAGUGGCGAAGGCGGCUCACUGGUCUGUAACUGACGCUGAGGCUCGAAAGCGUGGGGAGCAAACAGG
rnacentral:rRNA from 1 species